GAAGUCGUUACUCCAACCCUUGUGGAGGAGGACGCCGAAGGUGGGGCUAAUGACUGGGGUGAAGUCGUAACAAGGUAGCCGUACCGGAAGGUGCGGCUGGAUCACCUCCUAACAGGGAGACAACAAAAUGUAAAUAUUAAUUUUGUCACCUUAGGUCGAUCGGUAUCUCAGAUUCUUAUUAUUUAAGAAUUUCAGUUUCUAAGUUUUUUCUAGGUCACACCCAUCACUUUUUCCUGGGCCAUUAGCUCAGGUGGUUAGAGCGCACCCCUGAUAAGGGUGAGGUCCCUGGUUCAAGUCCAGGAUGGCCCAUAUCUCUAUGUUGGGGGUAUAGCUCAGUUGGUAGAGCGCCUGCUUUGCAAGCAGGAUGUCAGCGGUUCGAGUCCGCUUACCUCCACUGAAUACCACCUCUUACAUAUAGUUGAAGUGGGAAAUUGUUUUGAGUCGUGUCCUAAUUUGCUCUGAGCGAAUCUAGCUUCCUAUUUUAUCCAAGAAAUAAGAUGCUGGACUCAUUGAAUUUUUUUUCAUUGUUUUCAGAGAACCUUGACAACUGCAUAGAUUAUUUUUAAAGACAAUAAGCAUCUUUAAUGAUGCAGAUUUAUUAUUUGUGCGAAUGCAUUAAAUAACAAUUCUAUUAAGCUGAUGCUUCAAUUAUUGAAGUUAUUGGUCAAGCUACAAAGGGCUCACGGAGGAUACCUAGGCACACAGAGGCGAUGA
rnacentral:misc_RNA from 1 species